rnacentral:lncRNA from 1 species
GUUGAAGGAAAUAACUGAUUCUAAGUUUGAGAAGAGAAGCAUAUGUGUUGAUAUAAAAAAUAUAGGUCUUGCACUGUAUUGUUGCAAACUACUGCGUAAGUGAACCGACACAAAGCCCGAGCACUAUGUUAACAGAAAGGACCUAUUAACAAUAAAUAAAGAACCAGCAUCCUACAGUCAACACUGACACUGAGAGUAACAAUACUAAAUUAAUUUCGUGCUGC